rnacentral:rRNA from 1 species
GGGCCCGCACAAGCGGAGGAACAUGUGGUUUAAUUCGAUGAUACGCGAGGAACCUUACCUGGGCUUAAAUGCAGGCUGCAUGCUGUGGAAACACACUUCCCUUCGGGGCUGCCUGCAAGGUGCUGCAUGGUUGUCGUCAGCUCGUGCCGUGAGGUGUCGGGUUAAGUCCCAUAACGAGCGCAACCCUUACCGUUAGUUGCCAUCAGGUCAAGCUGGGGACUCUAUCGGGACUGCCACCGUAAGGUGUGAGGAAGGUGGGGAUGACGUCAAAUCAGCACGGCCCUUAUGUCCAGGGCUACACACGUGUUACAAUGGCCGGUACAAAGGGCAGCUACCCCGCGAGGGGAUGCAAAUCUUUAAAGCCGGUCUCAGUUCGGAUUGGAGUCUGCAACCCGACUCCAUGAAGUUGGAUUCGCUAGUAAUCGCGCAUCAGCCACGGCGCGGUGAAUACGUUCCCGGGCCUU